rnacentral:rRNA from 1 species
UCGUGAGACAGUUUGGUCCCUAUCUGCCGUGGGCGUUGGAAGUUUGAGAGGACCUGCUCCUAGUACGAGAGGACCGGAGUGGACGUACCUCUGGUGUACCGGUUAUGACGCCAGUCGUAUUGCCGGGUAGCUAAGUACGGACGAGAUAACCGCUGAAAGCAUCUAAGCGGGAAACUCACCCCAAGAUAAGACUUCCCGGGGGUUAAACCCCCCUAAAGGUUCGUCGAAGACCACGACGUUGAUAGGUCGGGUGUGGAAGCGCAGUAAUGCGUUGAGCUAACCGAUACUAAUUAACCGUGCGGCUUGAUCCUAUAACCUUGAGCA